GAUGACCUCAACUGUCAAGCCAAAAUUUCAAAAGGGGAUUAUAACCUUAAGCACCUUAAAGAUGUGGAAGCCAAGGAUUUGGUUGAGAGCAUGAUCAACGACGAUCCAGAAAAGAGACCACGCAUAACUGAAGUUCUCAAGCAUCCCUACUUCUGGGAGGAGGACAGGAAAGAGAUGUUCCUGGGAGCGUUGGGGAAUGUCAGGGAGGUAGAAAAAUACAAGGACUUUAGUAAUGAUGAGAACCUGGCUGAAAAAAAACAAGGGGAAAAAAAACAAGGGGAAAAAGAAGAAAAAAGCUUUUCCACAUGGAAAACUCAGCUGGACCAUGUGACUGCUGACCUGGGUAAAAUGAAGACUAAAUGGUUGGUUCUUGUGCAGGCACAGGCUAAAGAUAAUGAGAGAUUUCCAGAGACCCUGCCUUGUCUAUUACGCUUCAUACGCAACCGUCUGGUGCACAGCCGAGAAGAAAUGAAAGAAAUCAACGUGUUGAAGCUCUUCCCUGACCUAGUUGUCACAGCGUACAAGUGUGCUAAAGAGAAAGACUGGGAGGUUAGGGGUUUCCUGCCCCUGGUUUCUUCAGGAAAGAGAAAAGCUGAGGAGGAGGAUGACGCGCAGUGAACCAAGACGUGUAGAUGAGCCCUUGACAAGUGGUCGUGUUUGAUCAUUGUCAUAACACCUUUAAAUCAUCAAAAUCCAAGGCAGGCUCAAGGUGGCCCUGGAAAGUCAUCUACCCCUUGUCAUUAACCCCAUUCUAAGCCAACUCCAGCAGAGGCAGGUUCUUAAUGACCUGGAGCAGGAGGUGGUGAUGAUCAAACGCACCAGUGUGGAACGGAACUUUGUGCUCACCAUGUGUCAGUACUUGGACUCUGUCUUGUCUGAUUCUGUGUUUUGACAUGUCCUGUGUUUUUGUUGUGGUAGCAAUGCGCUACCAUGUGCUCCGCUCCUUCGCCUGUCUUUCUUCUGUUUCCCAUCUGUUCUGCUCAUCACCUGUUCCCAAGGAUUACCCUGCCUAUUUAAGCCCUGUCUUGCCUCAUGUUCCCUGUCAGAUUGUCUCAACUGGAGUGCUUGCCUUUUCCGUUGUCUGUGUUUUUUUUAAUUGUGCCUUUUUGAGUUUGUUUUUUAAUCUGUUUUUGCCUACCU
ensembl:lncRNA